CCUACGGGCGACUGCAGUUGGGAAUAUUGGGCAAUGGGCGCAAGCCUGACCCAGCAACGCCGCGUGAAGGAAGAAGGCUUUCGGGUUGUAAACUUCUUUUCUGAGAGACGAAGAAAGUGACGGUACCUCAGGAAUAAGCCACGGCUAACUACGUGCCAGCAGCCGCGGUAAUACGUAGGUGGCAAGCGUUAUCCGGAUAUAUUGGGUGUAAAGGGCGUGUAGGCGGGAAAGCAAGUCAGAGGUGAAAACUCAGGGCUCAACCCUGAGCAUGCAUUUGAUACUGUUUUUCUUGAGUGCUGGAGAGGCAAUCGGAAUUCCGUGUGUAGCGGUGAAAUGCGUAGAUAUACGGAGGAACACCAGUGGCGAAGGCGGAUUGCUGGACAGUAACUGACGCGGAGGCGCGAAAGCGUGGGGAGCAAACAGGAUUAGAUACCCUUGUAGUC
rnacentral:rRNA from 1 species